rnacentral:lncRNA from 1 species
UUAUCCUUGAUAUGUUCACUUUAACCAAUGAUGAAUACUCUCUCUUUAGUCUUCUUCCAGUAACAGGUAGUUGUAAAUCAUAUUUGAUAUCUUUUCCCCCAGUAGGUCAUUCUUACCUAGUAACCGGUAAUGAAUACGCCUCAUUUUCCUCAGUGAAUCAUCCUUGAUAUGUUUACCCUAAUCGGUGAAGGAUGCCCCUCUGUUCGAGUAUGUUAUCUUCUUACCCGGUCACCGGUAGUAG